UGUAUGAACUAUACCUUUAAGUGGGCAGGAUGGUGGCCUUCUCUUCAUGCUGACUGCCAGAAAUGUAAGUGAAAAAAACCCUCUGGACCAAUGUAUAAAUGAUUCCACACACAUACACACAAAACACUGCAUAUUUCCCAAAAUAAUCCAUAUUUUAUCAUUUUGUCCUUUGUUUGCUCUUGCGUGAUCCUGAUAUAAAAACACACACGUACAUGCCGAGUCCUAGAUUGCCGCUUAAUUACUGGAAGACAUCAAGCCAGCUUCCAGGCAAUGAUGGGAAGGGGACAGAGAAAAAAAAAAUCUCAACAAAUAACUGGACUAAUGAAACGCAACCCAAGCAACUGCUGUUCUGACACAGACCAUCACAACUCUGUUCUCUGCCAAUCUAGAGUAUAGCACUUUCCUCCUCUUCGUCCUCUUUGUCUGCACUUUACUCAGCAUGGCCUUCAUCAGUAUGAUGGCCUCUCACACUGACAGCUGCAGCUCCUUCACCUCCUAAAGUGCAUAACAGAGCGGGCAAUUGACGCGAUUUUCAUUGGCCCUGCCACACAGACAACUGGCACAGAUGUGGCAGUCCAGAAGACAUGGUUGGCAGUAUUGCUCAUG